ensembl:rRNA 5S_rRNA 5S ribosomal RNA
GUCUAUGGCCAUCCCACCCUAAACAUGCCCAAUCUCGUCUGAUUUCAGAAGCUAAGCAGGGUCGGGCCGGUUAGUACUUGGAUGGUUAGUACUUGGAUGGGAGACCACCUAGGAAGACCGGGUGCUGUACGUG